GUGGGGAAUUUUGGACAAUGGGCGCAAGCCUGAUCCAGCAAUGCCGCGUGCAGGAAGAAGGCCUUCGGGUUGUAAACUGCUUUUGUACGGAACGAAACGGUCCGGGUUAAUACCCUGGGCUAAUGACGGUACCGUAAGAAUAAGCACCUGCUAACUACGUGCCAGCAGCCGCGGUAAUACGUAGGGUGCAAGCGGUAAUCGGAAUUACUGGGCGUAAAGCGUGCGCAGGCGGUUUUGUAAGACAGGCGUGAAAUCCCCGGGCUCAACCUGGGAAUUGCGCUUGUGACUGCAAGGCUGGAGUGCGGCAGAGGGGGAUGGAAUUCCGCGUGUAGCAGUGAAAUGCGUAGAUAUGCGGAGGAACACCGAUGGCGAAGGCAAUCCCCUGGGCCUGCACUGACGCUCAUGCACGAAAGCGUGGGGAGCAAACAGGAUUAGAAACCCUAGUAGUCC
rnacentral:rRNA from 1 species